GCGUGCUGAUGCACUGCUGGUGGGCCCUUCUCCAUGGGCUUCUCAUAGUGUACCUAUGCCAGAGGUGCGUGCGUCCCCGAACCAUGGCCCAGUCUCCUCACUGCUGGGCGCUGAGCACUGAAGGGGGCUGUACAGUG
ensembl:snoRNA small nucleolar RNA SNORA42/SNORA80 family